UACGUAGGGACCAAGCGUUGUUCGGAUUUACUGGGCGUAAAGCGCGCGUAGGCGGCUUCGCAAGUCGGGUGUGAAAUCCCCAGGCUUAACCUGGGAACUGCAUUCGAGACUGCAUUGCUAGAGUAUGGGAGAGGGAAGUGGAAUUUCAGGUGUAGCGGUGAAAUGCGUAGAUAUCUGAAGGAACAUCAGUGGCGAAAGCGACUUCCUGGACCAAUACUGACGCUCAUGUGCGAAAGCGUGGGGAGCAAACAGG
rnacentral:rRNA from 1 species